rnacentral:sRNA from 1 species
GCCAGGCACGGUGGCGCAUGCCUGUAAUCCUAGUGACUCUGGAGGCUGAAGCAGGAGGAUCACUAAUUCAAAGCCAGCCUCAGCAAAAGUGAGGCACUAAGCAACUCAGGGAGACCCAGUCUCUA